ensembl:snRNA U6 U6 spliceosomal RNA
GUGCUUGCUUUGGCAGCACAUAUACUAAAAUUGGAUCAAUACAGAGAAGACUAGCAUGGCCUCUGCCCAGGAAUGACAUGCAAAUUCAUAAAACAUUCCAUAUUUUU